UACGUAGGGGGCAAGCGUUGUCCGGAAUCAUUGGGCGUAAAGCGCGUGUAGGCGGCUCGGUAAGUCCGCUCUGAAAGUCCAAGGCUCAACCUUGGGAUGCGGGUGGAUACUGCCGGGCUCGAGUCCGGAAGAGGCGAGUGGAAUUCCUGGUGUAGCGGUGAAAUGCGCAGAUAUCAGGAGGAACACCAAUGGCGAAGGCAGCUCGCUGGGACGUGACUGACGCUGAGGAGCGAACGAG
rnacentral:rRNA from 1 species